CCAAUAGCGUAUAUUAAAGUUGUUGCAGUUAAAAAGCUCGUAGUUGAAUUUCGGGAUCAGUUGGUUGGUCGUGCCUUUGUACGUACUGGUCAAAUUGAUUUCUACCUUCUGACGAACCACGAUGCCAUUAAUUUGGUGUUGUGGGGAAUCAGGACUGUUACUUUGAAAAAAUUAGAGUGUUUAAAGCAGGCUCACGCUUGAAUACAUUAGCAUGGAAUAACGAAAUAGGACGUUUGAUUCUAUUUUGUUGGUUUCUAGGAUCGACGUAAUGAUUAAUAGGGAUAGUUGGGGGCAUUAGUAUUCAAUUGUCAGAGGUGAAAUUCUUGGAUUUAUUGAAGACUAACUACUGCGAAAGCAUUUGCCAAGGAUGUUUUCAUUAAUCAAGAACGAAAGUUAGGGGAUCGAAGACGAUCAGAUACCGUCGUAGUCUUAACCAUAAACUAUGCCGACUAGGGAUCGGAUGAUGUUAAUUUUUUAAUGACUCAUUCGGCGCCUUACG
rnacentral:misc_RNA from 1 species